UCUCCCGGAACCUAUAAAUGGUGUCUGGACCCCCGGGGUUGUAUUUGUCCAAACACCCUGGAGAGGACACAGAAAAGACAGGCAACCACCUCACUUUCCAAUGAGGAGCAGCUGUGCAGAGCCCAGAACAAAAGGCUACAUGCUAAUUACUAAAAUAUUCAAUAAAUACAAUUAAAACUUCUCAUGUGCAAAUUAUUAUUUAUGUGCAAAUCUCUGCUUAAAGUGCAGUGCUAAAUAAAGUGCUUGUUAAUAAAGUGCAAAAAGUGCUUUUAAAGUGCUAUACAGUGACUUAAAUAAAAA